AUAAAGAUGAUUAUUUCAACUGUUUCCAAGCUAAAUUCAUGCAUACCAUUCAAAUUGAAAAAUAAAAUAUGCUAGCCUUUUUAAGCACUCUUUUCUUGCAUUACAACUAGCCAGGUUAGUGUUCUUUAAAAGGAAUAAAAAAAAUAAAAUUGAGCUAAGAGAGGGUAGGCCUUAGAAAGGACUUCUUUCCAGUAAAGAAUUAUGUAAAUAGUGAAACAUGCCCAUUCGUUAAAAGACCUAAAACCCGUAAAUGGUUUUCACUUUCGGAGGCAUCUGUCUCACAACAUUAUAGCUUCCAUGAAUUGAAACUUAUAAGUAAUGGCAGUUUUC
rnacentral:misc_RNA from 1 species